UAGGGAAUCUUCCACAAUGGGCGAAAGCCUGAUGGAGCAACGCCGCGUGUGUGAUGAAGGGUUUCGGCUCGUAAACACUGUUGUAAGAGAAGAAUGACAUUGAGAGUAACUGUUCAAUGUGUGACGGUAUCUUACCAGAAAGGAACGGCUAAAUACGUGCCNG
rnacentral:rRNA from 1 species